GAUCAUGGCUCAGGAUGAACGCUAGCGGCAGGCCUAACACAUGCAAGUCGAGGGGCAGCACGAUAAAGCUUGCUUUAUUGGUGGCGACCGGCGCACGGGUGCGUAACGCGUAUGCAACCUACCCUGUACUGGGGGAUAACCCGGNGAAAUUCGGACUAACACCCCAUAGUAAUAUACUUUCGCAUGUUAGUAUAUUUAAAGGUUACGGUACAGGAUGGGGCAUGCGUCCUAUUAGCUAGAUGGUGAGGUAACGGCUCACCAUGGCGAUGAUAGGUAGGGGGCCUGAGAGGGUGGUCCCCCACACUGGUACUGAGACACGGACCAGACUCCUACGGGAGGCAGCAGUGAGGAAUAUUGGUCAAUGGGCGCAAGCCUGAACCAGCCAUGCCGCGUGCAGGAAGAAUGCCCUAUGGGUUGUAAACUGCUUUUAUUUGGGAAUAAACCUCUUUACGUGUAGAGAGCUGAAGGUACCAAAUGAAUAAGCACCGGCUAACUCCGUG
rnacentral:rRNA from 1 species